GGAAUGGACAGGGAUGUUCAAUUCCCUCUUGUCCAGCCCUGACAUUCCACAGGGAUCCAGAGCAGGGACAGGGAAUGGACAGGGAUGUUCAAUUCCCUCUUUUCCAGCUCUGACAUCCCACAGGGAUCCAGAGCAGGGACAGGGAAUGGACAGGGAUGUUCAAUUCCCUCUUGUCCAGCCCUGACAUUCCACAGGGAUAUCCCAUCUGGACAUUCCCUGCUCUGUCCUGGCGUUCUCUGCUCCAUCCCAGUCCCUCCUCCAGUCGUUUUCCUCCUGCUCUUCCCAUCCUGGACAUUCCCUACUCCAUCCUGGCAUUCCCUGCUCCAUCCUGACGUUCCCUACUCCAUCCAGGACAUUCCCUACUCCAUCCUGGCAUUCCCUACUCCAUUCUGGACAUUCCCUACUCCAUCCUGCCAAUCCCUGCUCCAUCCUGACGUUCCCUGCUCCAUCCUGAUGUUCCCUGCUCCAUCCUGGCAUUCCCUGCUCCAUCCUGACGUUCCCUGCUCCAUCCUGACAUUCCCUGCUCCACCCUGGACAUGCCCUGCACCAUUCCAUCUGCUCUCCAGGCGUUUUCCUCCUGCUCUUUGUACCCUGCUCCAUCCUGGACAUGCCCUGCUCCAUCCCAGCCGCUCUCCAGACUCUCUCCAGCCCAGAGCCCAGCUCGGAUCUCAGGAGGGCCAGGACGGGGCCAGACCCAACUCCGGGAUGAUCCCAAACCACCGGAUCCUGCUCCAACCCUUCCCUUUCCAUGCACGGAGCGGAGUCUCCCAUGCAGUGCCCACCCCCGGGGCAUGCCGUGAGAGCGGCGGGCGCUGCCCGGUGCUGGGGUGGCCCCGGUGCAUCCCGGGACCCACAGCCGUGGGUCAGUGCCAGUUUGAGAACCACGGCCGUGGGUCAGUGCCAGCUCGGGAACCACGGCCGUGGGUCAGUGCCAGUUAGAGAACCACAGCCGUGGGUCAGUGCCGGAUCAGGAGCCACGGCCGUGGGUCAGUGCCAGUUUGAGAACCACGGCCGUGGGUCAGUGCCAGGUCAGG
rnacentral:lncRNA from 1 species